GUGUGUGUGUGUUUUCAGGGGCUUUAAACGCUGUGGUCUGUCUGCUACAUCGUGGCUUGUACUGAAAACAUGGCGGAGCUAGGCCAGUCAGAGCUGCAGGAGCUGCAGGAGCUCCCACUGUGGCUGCUGAUCCCUCCACAGGCCCUCCUGCAGACGACCCUCAGAAGCAGAGGAAGAGCUCUCCCGUCUCUCAGACUCCAUGGUCCAGCAGCAAGAGGAGAUGCAGACGACCCUCAGAGACAGACAGAGUGACAUCUCCUGUCUCAAAGACAUCGUGGUCCAGCACCAAGAGGAGCUCAGGCAGCUCCGCCAGUCUAUCCAGGAGC